CUCGGUAGUCGCUGCGCAGGCACUUUGGUGACUCUAGAUAACCUCGGCCCGAUCGCACGUCCCCGUGACGGCGACAAUGCAUUCGGAUGUCUGCCCUAUCAACUUUCGAUGUUACUUUCUGCGCCUACCAUGAUGACGACGGGUAACGGGGAAUCAGGGUUCGAUUCCGGAGAGGGAGCCUGAGAAACGGCUACCACAUCCAAAGAAGGCAGCAGACGCACAAAUUACCCACUCCCAACGCGGGGAGGUAGUGAAG